UUUUGUUGUUUGAGCCAAAAGAAAGAGCAGUUUUGGCUCAUUAAAAAAAGAAAAAUGAUGAAAGUCAUAAAAAUAAAACUGUCCCAGGCAAUACAUUGUAUUUCUUGGGAAGUAAUCACCCAUUUUUGAUGAGGAAAGUUGGGUGAAAGUUGCCACAAGUACUGGACUAAGAAAAAAGUAUGUUUCAGGGUUCUUCUUUUGACAAUGACUAAUAGUUAGGGAUCCUGUAUACUGAAAAUUCAGCCGUGAAAUAUGUCUGGGCAAAAAUUGCUUUCAAAUGCAUUUUCACUUUCAGUUCAAAAGAUUUUUGUCAUCAAACAAUAUGUCCAAAAUAGGAUGUUGUGAUGAUGCAAAAAAAAAAAAAACACUAAAGAAAGCGCUCUGCGCAGUAUUGCCACAACCAUCCCGUACUCGGCCAUAGUUCUGUUAGUGUCUCCCUCUGGCAACCAUAGAAUUUGCAUCAGGUCAGAUUUUAAGUACUAUUAAUUCUGAAUGAAAUCUGUAACAUUGCGGUCCCACAUUGCGUACUCAUAAAUAAUGAAAAACAUGUCAUGUAACAAAACAAAAAAAGUCUGGUCACCUGACCUUUGAAACAUACAAAAGAGCCUCAUUUAAGGGGCUUGUAAACUACGCCCAUGUUUGGACUUCCUGAAAGGAGCAGUUUACAUAAUGUGGAUAGAAAGAAGAAAAAUUAUUAUAGAAUAUUGUCAUGAACUGGGUUAUAUGUGUUUUAUUGUUCUGUAUUGCCAAUGAGCGGUUGUGGCUAACAUGUCAUGUUCUGCUACUUUGACUACUCUUGUUUUUGAAAUACUAAACACGUCAUUCUUUUUGCGUGUGGGAACCAGGUGCUCGGUUCAGACAGCACAAAACACCGCACCUAUCUUCCGUGCCUUUGUUGCCCAACAUAGGUGGAUAAGGAGCGGCUCCUACUUCUCCUCCCACAGAAAAAAAUGGUUGUACUUUGCUAAUCAAUCUGGUCGUUGUGUAAUUUGACUGCUAGAAGCUCUCAGAUAGGCCAACUUCUUUGCUUCCUAUUCUCCAAGCCUGCUGCUUUUCGGCUCAACCCAAGCCGAUGUUGAGAGCUGCCUCUGUUGUACGACUCUGUCUCACCUGAUCGCAGUAAUAUUGCCCCACAGUUCUUAUUUCACCAUGCUGUGUGGCUGUCUGUGCCAGUGCUGCUGCUGCAUUUGAUGUAGUAAGUACAUUCA